GGCUAAGUGACAAUACAUUGCUACCUGAUGGUGGUUGAUGGGAGACCCCUGGGAAGAUGCUGGUGGACACAAGGGCACGAGCGCCCACCUCAGAGAACCCUUCCUCACCAUUGGCAAGAAUGGCCUUGCUCGGCACUGGUGAGCAAGGGUGAAUGGGCCAGGAAGAGUGACCCCAAGGCGUGCAGAGUGGGGGCACUUUAGGAAGAGGCUGUGAAGGAGGUGGCAGCCCUGCUGCCCAUUCUGCACCUGUUCAGAGGGAGAACAUCAGACUGCGCGGCUGUCACAAAUGCUGACUCUGUGCUGCAGUUCUUAAACCCUGGCCACAUGAAGCUACUUCUUGAGCGAGUAACUGUGUUUGACUGGAUGGGACUGCUGGAAGUUGGUUUCAGCUGAAACACACGGAAACAAAUUUCAUGUUACUGACUCUUUUUGCAGUCCUGCUCUGCUGCACUGAUUAGAUGAUACCUUUUUGAUCUCCCAGUGGUACAGAGAGGGAUGGAGAUGGUGUGGGGGACGGGGAUGACAGGUUUUACAUAUCUCUGACUGUAUCUGCAUUUACUGAGUCAUUGGUGUAUUUUGCAGAGUUCCUCCCCCAGAAAGCUGCAGUUGAUUUGUCCAUCGUUCAAUAUAGAGGGUGGAUUUGCCAGUCCAUGUACGAAGCAUAAACUCUUGAUUCUGAUGCAGAGGAUCUGCUUCCAUGGGUAGAGCCCACCCCACAGUUGUGACGUCAAGGACCCAUCGACUCAUCUCCUCCUCCUGCUUUUCCUGAUCCUCCAAGCCUGUUGCAGAAAUUGGAGCCUGGCAACAGAAAAGGAUUGAAAACACUUCUGUCCCUACCAAAAAAAAGGCCAGCGUGUUUGUGGGCAAAAAGGUCAUCCCGUUCCAGCAGGCAUGAACUUUGUCCCAUUCAUGCCUGCAGCCACAGCACGAGAUAGGACUCUACACCUGAUGGUAACUCAAGCCGUAUACAUGCUCUUGAAAGAAAGGUAACCAAAGGGGUAGUCCAGAGGUUCCUUGAUAGUUCUACAGGACCUGGGACAAAACAGAAGCAGGAGCUUCAUCUUCAUUUCCCCUGCAAAGAUGCUAGGAUUUAACCAGGUGGAGAACUUGGUUUGCUUUUGAAUCAAUCACUUUUUCCCCAAUCCCUAGACUUCAGUACCCUUUAGAUCCAAUGCAGAAGGAACUGACACUGGAGAUUGAAAGCCCACAGUAGCCGCUUAGGGGGAGGAGAGGGGAGGUCAGGUCUGUGAUGAAGAAUCAUCAUCAUCAGUUUUGAUUAAUGUCCAGCUGGAGGGGGACACUGCAGCAAGAGGGGAGGGAGCCUUUGCUCUUCAAUCCCUCCACUUAGUGUUUCAUGGUUGGGAGGUGCUAGAUAUCUUCCGUAAAAAAAAACUGACCUAGACAUUGCGUCUCAUGUGUCUAAUGGGACGGGGUGUUUGACACAUUUAUAUGGUACCUACUGAUUAUUCUUGCCAGACAGAAAUAAAAUGCUUGUGAGA